UCAUCAUCAUCAUCAUCAUCAUUUAGCGUCCAUUAUCCAUGCUGGCAUAGGUUGAAAGGUUCGACCAGGGUUGGCAAGCUGAAGGGCUACUCCAGACUCCAGUCUGAUUUGGCAUGGUUUCUACAGCUGGAUGCCCUUCCUGAUGCCAACCACUCCGGGAGUGUAGUGGGUGCAUUUUACGUGCUACUG